rnacentral:lncRNA from 1 species
AUGCUCAAAAUUCUCCAAGCCAGCCUUCAGCAAUAUGUGAACCGUGAACUCCCUGAUGUUCAAGCUGGUUUUAGAAAAGGCAAAGGAACCAGAGAUCAAAUUGCCAACAUCCGCUGGAUCAUGGAAAAAGCAAGAGAGUUCCAGAAAAACAUCUAUUUCUGCUUUAUUGACUAUGCCAAAGCCUUUGAUUGUGUGGAUCACAAUAAACUGUGGAAAAUUCUGAAAGAGAUGGGAAUACCAGACCACCUGACCUGCCUCUUGAGGAAUCUGUAUGCAGGUCAGGAAGCAACAGUUAGAACUAGACAUGGAACAAGAGACUGGUUCCAAACAGGAAAAGAAGUCCGUCAAGGCUGUAUAUUGUCACCCUGCUUAUUUAACUUCUAUGUAGAGUACAUCAUGAGAAAGGCUGGACUGGAAGAAGCACAAGCUGGAAUCAAGAUUGCCAGGAGAAAUAUCAAUAACAUCAGAUAUGCAGAUGACACCAGCCUUAUGGCAGAAAGUGAAGAGCAGCUAAAAAGCCUUUUGAUGAAAGUAACAGAGGAGAGUGAAAAUGUUGGCUUAAAGCUCAACAUUCAGAAAACGAAGAUCAUGGCAUCCGGUCCCAUCACUUCAUGGGAAAUAGAUGGGGAAACAGUGGAAACAGUGUCUGACUUUAUUUUUUUGGGCUCCAAAAUCACUGCAGAUGGUGACUGCAGCCAUGAAAUUAAAAGAUGCUUACUCCUUGGAAGCAAAGUUAUGACCAACCUAGAUAGUAUAUUCAAAAGCAGAGACAUUACUUUGCUGACUAAGGUCCGUCUAGUCAAGGCUAUGGUUUUUCCAGUGGUCAUGCAUGGACGUGAGGAUUGGACUGUGGAGAAGGCUGAGCACCGAAGAAUUGAUGUGUUUGAACUGUGGUGUUGGAGAAGACUCUUGAGGGUCCCUUGGACGGCAAGGAGAUCCAAUCAGUCCAUUCUGAAGGAGAUCAACCCUGGGAUUUCUUUGGAAGGAAUGAUGCUAAAGCUGAAGCUCCAGUACUUUGGCUACCUCAUGCAAAGAGUUGACUCAUUGGAAAAGACUCUGAUGCUGGGAGGGAUUGGGCACAGGAGGAGAAGGGGACGACCCAGGAUGAGAUGGCUGGAUGGCAUCACGGACUCGAUGGACAUGAGUCUGAGUGAACUCCGGGAGUUGGUGAUGGACAGGGAGGCCUGGCGUGCUGCGAUUCAUGGGGUCGCAAAGAGUCGGACAUGA